GACAGAAUCAACACAGGCUGAUGCCUGUAAACCAAAGUCCUUUCCUGUUUGGAGCUGCUGAGUGUAGUCUGAACUGUGAGUCUGGACCUGCUCUCUCAGUGAAGGCACAACUUCUUGAACUCUGACUCUGAACUGUAGUUGUGGCUAAUGCUGCUUAUGAUCCAAAAAUCUAAUUCAGCAGUGAAAAUAUAAGCUUCCAACCUCUAACCUGGAACAUUCUGUCUCAGAAAGGACAGUGUGUACACUUGAAUGGAAAGACCAGAGUCUCAGUACAAUGUCAGGAUGUCAGGAAGCUA
rnacentral:lncRNA from 1 species